rnacentral:lncRNA from 1 species
AAUCAGGGCUACAAGCAGGGCUGGAAAUGCGAAGGAAGGGGGAAAAGGCCAUUUAAUGGGCUCUGUUUGAACUUGGGCCCUGGCUGAUGUUCAACUUUCUGCAGAACAUCUGGUCCCUUCCUGCUGAGCAAGGGGCAGCGCCACUGCACUGGGAUCUGGGAUCUCCAGUCCAAGGCUGCUGGUCAGAGCCCAGAGACCCUGAGCCUACUGGGGCAUCGCGCCUCAGGCUGCUGCACGUGUCACUCAGGAGCCUGCACUGCCACUCAGAAGCUGCCUCUGCCACGUGUGAGACCAGGUGGGUCAGUGUGAGAUUCUGCAGGACUCCAACCCUGGGGUUGGCAUCCACAGGGACUCCAGAGCUCUUCCAGAGGGCUGCUCAGUCCCUGAUCCCAUGUGAAGGCUCAGCACCCACCAAGCUCUCUUGCAGGACUGAAGCCCACAGGUUCUUCCGUCUGUCUGGUUCUCCAGGAGCCUCAUCUUUGGCUGUGUUGACUUCUUUUCUCUUAUGGAUACACUUCUCACUAAAAGCCCCUGCAGAACCCUGUCACCGGCAGCUCUGCAUUCUGUUAUCCAUGUGUUCAUUCUUUACUCAGGCUCCUACUUAUCUGGGUUAUCUUGUAUCCCAGGCCACAUUUCAUGUACCAGCAGCAUACUUUAAGCAGGAAAUAGAAUCAUCGUGUCAAGGCAUGAUUUGUGUUGGAAGGGACCUUAAAUCCCAUAUAGAUGCAACCCCUCUGCCAUGGGCAGGGACACUUUCCACUAUGCCAGGUUGCUCCACGCCCUGUCCAGCCUGGCCUUGGACACUUCAGGGAUGGGGCAGCCACAGCUUCUCUGGGCACCCUGUGCCAGGGCCUCACCUCCCUCACAGGGAUGAAUUUCUUCCCAGUCUCUAACCUCUGCACCAGUGGCUUCUUCUAUGUGGCUCCACCAGUGCUCAGCUCCUCAUUCCUUGGCCCUGUUCCCUAACCUCUUCUCCUAUCACCUCUGCCCCUGUUCCUCCUGGGCCUUGCCACUGGGCAAGCAGCAGGCCUGGGGCCACCUGAGACCCGAGACCUGAGACCUGCCCCACAGGGGUGGGAACCCAUGGGGAGAGAUAAACGGGAGCCCCAGGGGUGCCAGGAG